rnacentral:lncRNA from 1 species
GAGUAUUGUUAACUUCAUUAACUAACUUUUAGAGAUAAGCUUCAGGAUAAUGAGAUUUGAAUAUACACAAUUGUCCCAUAAAAAGAAACUGUCAUAGUUCACAGAAAGCCAUUUCCUUUGAGCUUCAUUGCUGAUAAAGAAAAUGCAGAGAGAGUUGCCUUUCAGCUAAAAAAAAAAAGGACCAUGCUUCAGCUGACAUCUGACUUUAUACACAGUUGACCCUUGAACAGCACAACAGGACUGCAGUUGUGCACUUCUAUGUAGAUUCUGUUCAACAAAGCACCGAUGGAAAAUACAGCAUUUACAAGAUGAGAAACCCGAGUACACAGAGGAUCAAUCUUUGGUAUAACACGAGUUCCACAAGGCUAACUGUGGCAUUUGGAUACUAUGACUCAUUUAUUCAGAAGUCGCUUGGUUACCUAUGUGUUUGGCGUGGGGCUGGACUACCAGCUUGGACUAACUUAGAAAACUGGGAAAAGAACCAACUUGCCUCAAAAACAAUUUCUCCUCUUUCUCUUUAUCCUUUUUCCUCUAUUUAGACUGCUACAUUAAUAAUGAACCUAAGCUACAGAUAAACAGAAUUCAAUCACUGUGGCCAAAAGACAGGAACUUAGCUGUGGUCAGUCUCCCACAUCUGAUGUCCUCGUGGUAGAGUUCAGGGUUAGAGACUAAGCUGAAAGGAAGGAUGGGACUAGGAAGAAUUGCAUAAUCAGACCUGCCAUAUCCACACACAAAUGGCCAAGUCCAGCCAGAAAUCUUCACAGCUGUUUGAAUAAUAAAGUGGAUAAAUGAGAAGAGGCUUCAGUAAGUUAGAUCAAGCAAGUUCUCAGUACCCAGAGCUAUACUGGGAAAAGCCGUUAGAUAAUGAUAACCAAAUGUAUUUUCCUUGACUGUUCUAUAGGAUUCAGGAGUGUUACUAAAUUGUGCCUCCAAAUCUUAAAAAUAAAAGCCUCAAAAUCUAUG